GGAGGUUUGGAACAGACUUGGUGAAGAACAUGGAAACAUCUCUAAAUAAAAUGGCCCCAAACAUCAUCAGGAGUGCAAAAGAAGGAAGUAAAAAACAUCUCUACGCCAAUCUCAUUGGAACAGCAGAGGAAAGCACAGAAGAAAGAAAGCCGUGAACGUUUGAAAUAACGAGAACCCAAAGGUCCCAC